UAGGGAAUAUUGGUCAAUGGAUGGAAGUCUGAACCAGCCAUGCCGCGUGCAGGAAGAAGGCCUUCUGGGUUGUAAACUGCUUUUGCCAGGGGCUAAAAAGCCCAUGCGUGGGAAAUUGAAAGUACCUGGUGAAUAAGCCACGGCUAACUACGUGCCAGCAGCCGCGGUAAUACGUAGGUGGCAAGCGUUGUCCGGAUUUAUUGGGUUUAAAGGGUGCGUAGGCGGCUUUGUAAGUCAGUGGUGAAAUACGGUAGCUUAACUAUCGAGGUGCCAUUGAUACUGCAGAGCUUGAGUACAGAUGAGGUAGGCGGAAUUGACGGUGUAGCGGUGAAAUGCUUAGAUAUCGUCAAGAACACCUAUAGCGAAGGCAGCUUACUAGGCUGUAACUGACGCUGAGGCACGAAAGUGUGGGGAUCAAACAG
rnacentral:rRNA from 1 species